GAGUUUGAUCGUGGCUCAGAACGAACGCUGGCGGCAUGCCUAACACAUGCAAGUCGAACGAGACCUUCGGGUCUAGUGGCGCACGGGUGCGUAACGCGUGGGAACCUGCCUUUAGGUUCGGAAUAACUCCCCGAAAGGGUGCUAAUACCGAAUAAUGUCUUCGGACCAAAGAUUUAUCGCCUUUAGAUGGGCCCGCGUUGGAUUAGCUAGUUGGUGGGGUAAAGGCCUACCAAGGCGACGAUCCAUAGCUGGUCUUAGAGGAUGAUCAGCCACACUGGGACUGAGACACGGCCCAGACUCCUACGGGAGGCAGCAGUGGGGAAUAUUGGACAAUGGGCGAAAGCCUGAUCCAGCAAUGCCGCGUGAGUGAUGAAGGCCUUAGGGUUGUAAAGCUCUUUUACCAGGGAUGAUAAUGACAGUACCUGGAGAAUAAGCUCCGGCUAACUCCGUGCCAGCCGCCGCGGUAAG
rnacentral:rRNA from 1 species